rnacentral:rRNA from 1 species
UACGUAGGGGGCUAGCGUUGUCCGGAAUCAUUGGGCGUAAAGAGCGUGUAGGCUGCUCGGUAAGUCCGCUGUAAAAGUCAAAGGCUCAACCUUUGAAUGUCAGUGGAUACUGCCGGGCUAGAGUCCGGAAGAGGCGAGUGGAAUUCCUGGUGUAGCGGUGAAAUGCGCAGAUAUCAGGAGGAACACCGGUGGCGAAGGCGGGUCUCUGGGCAACUACUGACGCUGAGGAGCGAAAGCGUGGGGAGCGAACAGG